CAGAAAGGGGGGCAGGUUGUAGUCUUUUCGCUCAGUUCUAGCCCUACUGUUGAUACGGAGAACCGAGCGGAAAGACUACAACCAAACAAAAACAGCCCAUUUCCGUUUUCAGUUCGGUUUUCGUUUCAAUGGGAUUUAUUAAACGCCAAAUAAAACACGACAGAAGCUGUAUUUCGCUACGAUACUUGAUUAGGAACAUCAACGAACACCACUAACCACUCGCUCAACACCAACCUUUGCAGUGUUUUGGCUAUUCAAAGAAGUGUGACAGCUGCCUAUCAUCCCCAAACCAAUGGGAAUCCAGAGGACUUCUGUCGGGUGUGCUCCUUUGCCGAAGAAAAUGCAGAUGGGAGCAUGAUUGAAAAGGUGCAUUGUGGAUUGUGCAGUAGGCGGGCACAUUUUGAGUGUGCCCAAUAUGCCCAUGAAAAUAAGACUGUAUAUAUUUGCAAGAAAUGCCUUAAAAUAAAAUAAAGAUUUGAGAUCUUUUGGUUGUUUUUAUUAUUGGUAGUUUUGAAUAAUUAUUAUCUAUUGCAUAUAUAAACACACAGAAUCCCAUUCACAAAUAUAUACAAGUUUUAACAAUACUUU
ensembl:lncRNA